rnacentral:rRNA from 1 species
UCCGUAGGUGGAUCAAUCAGUCAGAGGUGAAAUCCUGCAGCUUAACUGUAGAACUGCCUUUGAUACUGUUGAUCUUGAGUCAUUAUGAAGUGGUUAGAAUGUGUAGUGUAGCGGUGAAAUGCAUAGAUAUUACACAGAAUACCGAUUGCGAAGGCAGAUCACUAAUAAUGUACUGACACUGGGGGACGAAAGCGUGGGGAGCGAACAGGAUUAGAUACCCUGGUAGUCC